AGUGCUGGAUAUGUGGCGGUGGUUCAGUCAAAUCGGUUCUAGGACUGUGUCCUCUCUAAGUACCUGACUAUUGGGAAGUAAGACUUGACAGUUAAAUGCUGACGUUGUGAGAUCACUAAUAACUUGUUAUCGAACUGGAUUUUCAUUGGGAAUGUACUCUGCAGUCAGCGUGCUAAGCAGUCACGUAAUCCUAUGUGGUUACACAGGUGUGGGAGAGAUGCGUCCAUUUCAGAUGUGUUGUUGCCUACAGCAACAGUUCCUGGGAGGAGCUGGCAGUACUGAUCCAAGUUUCAUAGGAUUCAUACAGGUUUCCUCCAGCCUUUGACCUCUGUCUUCUUUUGCUUUUAUUGGAAUGAACUCUUGAGGAGUUUUCUUCCUCCCUAACCCCCAUCCACCCAUUUGUAUUUUUUUUUUAAAUGGAUGUAUGUAUUUGUGUUGUUUUUUUUUUUUUUUUGCUUUAUUUUGUGAUUCAUUGUCUGCCUUGACAAGUCAGUUACCAGGUGAUAAGUAGAGGCUUAAAAGUAUGAUAGAUCUCUUAGCCCUGUCCCUUGUUGCCUGGUAGCUAAUUGAACAGCUGAUUGAGUUAUCUGAGUGAUUUUUUGAAUGUAUAUACUUUUUUAAAUGCACAUACAGGGGCCAGGUGGUGGUGCACCUGGUUAAGCACACACAUUUCAGUGCACAAGGACCCAGGUUCAAGCCCCUGGUUCCCACCUUGGGGGGGGAGCUUCAUGAGUGGUAAAUCAGGGCUGUAGGUGUCUCUUGUCUCUUUCUCUCUCUAGCUUCCCCUCUCAAUUUCUCUGUACCCAAUAAUAAAUAAAUUAAUAUAUUUAUUAAAAAUUAAACAUCCAUAUGUGACAUGUGUUUUAGAUAUAGUUUAUAUUCUUUCACUUUGUUUAUUUUGCCCUGAUGGAAAGUGAAACAUAAUUCUAUUUUCUCUGCCCUCAUUCCCAUCUUACCUGAUUGUAUAACAGCUAUAGAGUAGCUAUCUGGUUUUUCCUCUCCCUAUUCCUAUCACCCCUUUCCCCCACCCCUUUCCCCUCCUUCCCUUUUUUACUCCCUCCCUCCCUUUUUUCUCUCUUUCUUUUAUUUUUCUGUAAUGACCAAGAUAAUGCGGAGAAAGCAGUCUUUUCUAAAAAAUGUGUACAGAUACUUUUGCUGCUAUUCUGUCAAUAUUGUUUCAUUUUCUACUUCACUUAUUCUUCUCCUAUAUAUGUAGAUAUCUUAUAAACUAGAGGGGUCCAGAAGUAUGAUAAUUAUCUCACUUACCCCUAUCCCUGUUGCCUAUGUGGGCAAUAACUAAGAGUAGUUGUCGUUACUAUUGUUUUUGAUGUAGCCACAGAAUUUGUAUAUCAUUCUUUCAAGUGUACAUAAAUCUUCUCCUCCUCCUUCUCCUAAUUGCCCCCUUGAUGUUGCUGAAGAAGUGACAAGAGAGCAUCCAGAGUCUCUGAGAUCAUGCUGACCUAAAGAGCCAUCUAGUUUCCUCUUCUUUGAAUUUGCCACCUUGCUCAGGUUUGGAAACCUAACUGAAGCAAACGCCUCACGGCCAGGUAGCUUAAGAGCUUUUCUGUAGGGAAACAUGGCUUCACCAUGAUGACUUUUAAUGAGUGUUCCAUUUGGUAGAAUGCCUUGAUUUCUGCUCCUACUCUGGGGAGAAGGGCACCUUCAGAUAGUCCCUCCUUGAUAAAAGAGCGGAUAGUCAAGUGUGAUGUCAUCUCCACAUAUGUCGCAAUAAGCCGGGCCUGGGCACCAAAGGCACUUCCAGUUUUGGUCACCUUUCUCUCAGGGUCCAGUAGAAAGAGCUCUUGCAGUAGGACCGUAUCAAGCCCUUGGCUAACCAGCCACAUGGAGGUUGCACAUAUGUCAACAGUGGUGUCAAAGUCAACUAUCGGUACAUGAAGUCCUUGAUGGAGAGAUGCAUACAUUCAUUAAACCUCCGAGUUAACUGCUGGAUGGAGUUUUGUUGUGUUUUCCUCACUAAAUAGUACAUCAAGCCAAGCGAGACCUUGACUGUUCUGUUGGCAACCUCAAGCACUGUCUGCAUGCCUGACCAGCUCCUAGGGAAUUGUUUUCCCAUCCUUGUUUGGCAAGGAUGGGAAAACCGACAAAUCUGUCAGUUUUGAUGAACUUAGAUAUGACUCCAUUGGUUAAGUCAUGCAGCUGAGGGAAGACAGAUAAAAGGCAUAUAAUGGCAAGGCUCUAGCCUCCUCCUAGUGUGAAUGGAGCCCAACUGCAGCUGCAGCUGAAACCUGGGGGGGUGGGGGGGGAAGAAGUGCCAUGUCACUGUCUGUCCUCCAGCAGGUUCUGUCUCGGAGUUGCUAUGGUAUUUUUUUUGUAUCUUUAUCAUAUUACUUUGCAUGAAUACAGACAUGGGUGGGGGAGAGAUAGCAUAAUGAUUAUACAAAGAGACUCUCAUGCCUGAAGCUCCAAAGCCCCAAGUUCAAUUCCCUCACAGCACCAUAAACCAGAGUUCAUCAGAGCUCUGACAGAAAAUAAAUAAGACAGUCUGAAAUGUAUAUACAAGCUUCAUGAAAACUAACGUCCAGGGCAUGACAAAUCCUCUUUUCCCUUUUCCUUAUUGCCUCUUCAGGGGCAGUAGCUAAUACAGUAUUUUGUUUCAUUUUGGGAGAGGGUGGGAUAUGUACUUAAUGUAUAUUAAAAAAAUUGACUACUACUUUGUAUUAUGAAGAAUUCAUUUUGUACUAUGUCCUUCUCAUAGGACGUGAAAGUACUUAAUGAAAUGUGGAGGUCUGGAUGUAUAACAAUUUCCACUUGUCCCUUUCCCAUAUUGCCUGUAUGGGCAAUAAUAGCUAGGACUGCACUUACUGAAGUAGGAUUUGAGGGUGGGUGGGGUCAGGGAUAGACACUGUAUAUAUUUGUUUUUAUUACUAUGAUUUUAUUAGUAUUUCAUCAGGUACCCAAACUGGUAUCUCAUAAUCCAUGGAGUUUUAGUUAGCAAACAAUCUCCCCUUGUCCCUCUCCUCAUGCCUGUGUGGGCAAUACUUUUGAGUAGUUUAGGUUUUUUGAAGAUUUUUGUACAAAGUGAUAUUAGGGAUUUCAGAGCAAGGGUAUAUAUUUUUUAAAUGUAUAUAUAAAUAUAAAUGUUUUGCUACUUUGUUAACUUGUUUCGUACCUUGUUCUUUGCAUGGAUGACAGUAUGAAGACAAUUGAGGUUCAGUAUAUAACAAGUUUCUUCCUCGCCUUAUUUUUGUAUUGCCUGAGUAGGCUACAGCUCAUAGAACGAUUAGGAGUUCUUUAUGGGCUUGAAUAGCCCCCUUGAAUAUAGACAUUACCUUCCCUGUUACAGGAUUUCAUUGGGUCUGUAGUUUUCCGCUUCAUUAGAACAGCUAGUUCCUUAAUGAACCAUGUACUUCUAGAUUUAUAGCAAUUUUCUUUUCUGUCUUUAUCCUAUUAAAAAAAAAAAAAACCUUUGAUGCAAUCCUUUUAAAGUAGUUGUUUUUUGUUGUUUGUUUUUAACAUUUUGUCGGGAUGGGAAAGCAGGAUAUGUACCUUUGGAAACUGCGUGUUUAUAUGUGUGUGUAUUUAUAUAUAGUGUUUAUAAUUAAGUUGUCCUAUUUCAUUUUACACUCAGUCAGUUGUUGGCUGUGAUGAUAUUUGGAGGGCCAGAUGUAUGAAAAUCUCCUCUCUCCCCCUUUCCUUAUUGCCUUGUGGGCAGUAGUUUUUAGAAAUAGUCUAGAUAUUUUUUCACUCCCCAUAGGAGGAUGGGGAGAUGUGCUUUAAACAUGUAUAUAAAUGUUUUUUACUCCUUUUUUGUGACUUCAUUUUGUACCUAGACUUUUCCAUAGAUGCUUAGGUACAUGAUGAAAAUUAAGGUUCAUUCUAUGAAAAACAAUCUCCUUUGUUCCCCUUCCCUUAUUGCCCUCUCUGGGCAAUCGCUAGUAGUGUGGUUUAGAGUUUUGUUUGGCUUCUUUCCUUGUUUGUUUGUUUGCUUGCUUUGUUUUAUUGGCAGUGUGAUGGUUGAUUUCUGGGUUUACAUCUUUAAUGUCUAGACUUAUACAACUUAAGGUAUAACGAAUACAUAUUUCAUUAUUUCUUCCCGUAUUCUAUUUCUUGUUUUCGGAUAGCAAAUGCAGUGCUGAAAUCCAGAUGGAGAGGUGUGCUAAGUCUUUUCUCCCUUCCCCUCUACCUUCUGGAUGUGAUGAGCAGUGGUAUGAGAAUAAAUAUAUUGGGGUUUGCUUAGUUAUUUUUUAAGCUUUUAGUGGAGAAUGAGCUUGUUAGGCAAAGUGUGUGUGUGUGUGUGUGUGUGUGUGUGUGUGUGUGUGUGUGUGUGUGUGUGUUGUAUAUAAACAUUUUUACCUCUUCUUAGUGUUUACUUCUUGAAUCUAGUCCUCCGCAUGACUGUUUAGGUACCUAACAAAAAUUGAGAUUGAUUCUAUGAAAUAUCUCCCAUAUUACCCUUCCCUUAUUGCCUCAUGGGCAAUGGUAGAUGAAUAGAUGUUUGGUGGGUUUUUUUUUUUGGGGGGUGGGGGUUGGUCUAGGUAUAAUAUAUUAAUAUAUAAUGAUGUAUAUAGAUGUAUGAUAUUAAUACAUUUUGUGUGUUCUUACAUUUAGUACCCAGUCCUUUGUGGGGACUUUCUGGUACAUAAUCAUGUCCAGACGUAUUAUAAAUCUCCUAUGCUCCCCUUCCCUCAUUGCCUUCAUAGGCAAUAAUUUUAUAAUUUGGGUAUUUUCUUUUUUUAAUGGGAGGGCUCUUUGGGUUGGAAAUAACUUUUGGGUAGAGGAUAGGGUCUAAUAUUUUUUAAAUAUAUAUAAUGUUUUCAUGUUAUUAAUUAUGUACCUAGUUGUUUGCAUAUAUAUAUAUAUAUAUAUAUAUAUAUGUACAUAUAUAUGUAUAGAAAGAAAAUUCAUCUCCCCUUCCCCUUAUCGCCUGUGUAGACAAUAGUGAGAAGAAUGAGUGAAUUUUUAACUUGUUUAUUGGGGAUAAUCUCUAUUUUUGGCAGGGGGAAUAUUCUUAAAUUCAUACAAAAACAUUUUUGUUUAUUACUUUCUCUUGUAUUUAGUCCUUCACUUGGCAUUGUAGUGACCUAGUAGAAAUUGAGAUUUACAAAUUGACAGAUCACUUCUUCCUUUCCCAUGAAUUCCCUCUCUACUUGUAGCUGCUGCAUCAUCAUUGUUUUGUGGUUACUUUGGUUCAUGAUCUCACAUAUCGCCCAUCUAAAGUUGAAACUAGUAUAUACAUGCAUUUGCAUAAUUUGCUGCUGUUUUUCUACUAUUUUCCUUUAAUAUAUAAUCUCUUGAAGGAUUCUGACUGUCUCUAAGAAAAAUAAAGGCCCACCAAAUCCCAGCCGUCUGGCAUGGAUGUAGUGUGUGAUGGUAUACUUAAUGGCAACAGUCUUCUAGCAAAUAUAAUGGGAGGAGACACUUGAAUAUGGUUGAGUUGUGAAAGCUAAUCAGGUAUAGAUAGCACUUCUUAUGUUGACUCAAAUCGAGUCAUCAUAAAUGUUGAGAAAGGAGAUUUUAGAAGGAGGAUAGUAACUAAGACAAGAUGACCGUUCUUAGCAAAAGUGUAUUUAAAUUCUAUUCAAUGCUAAUUAAUCAUUCAGUAAACAGUAAGCCAAUAAAAGUGCUACCUAGCAUUCAUUUAAGACCCUUAAGAGUAACUUUGAGACCUAGAAUUCUGAUUCACAUGUAGAAGUUUGUUUUGGUUGCAUCUAUAGUUUAUUCUUAUGUUCCCAGUAGAAAUUUUAACUUUUGGAAUGAACCUUUUGAGUUAUUGCCAUAGUUCAAGUGAAUGACAGUGUGGGUCCAAACACUAAUCCCAAACAAAUUGGGGGUGGGGGGGCACUGUCCUUUUAGUCCUUUCCUAUACCUAUGUCUUCCCUGUGACUGCAUCUCUUUCCUCAGUUCUCCAUCAGCUAGUUCUUUCCUUUCUCUUUAGCAUUUGCACCACUAGAUGUUAUCUUCAAGUGCUCUCAAAAUGCAAGCCAGAGUUGUCUCGUUAGCUGUAUGUUUUUGCAUGCGUUUUAGAAAUGUAUCCAGAUCUCUAUGUUUGCAUUUAGCAUUCUUGAAUCAUACUUCACACUGAUUCUUCACGCACCACAUGGUAACUGUUAGGACUCCACAUUUGCCUGUAUCAAAGAGAAUACAUGUGUAAAAUCUGAUCAAUCUCUCCCUUCCUCCCUCCUUAUUUUCAAGCUUCUUAGCGUUGUUUUGCAAUUUAUAAUGAAUAUAAUGCUGAAUUUGCCUUGUUUAGCCAUUGUUAGAAUCAUUGAGUGAUAGGACUCCUAGAAAAUUUGCAAAGAAAUAUCACUUACCACAUCCAAAUCUCAGGUUCUAAGUAUUGAAAAAUUAACUUACACUUUGCUGUUGCUUAUACCUGCUGCUGUAUGGGGAAAAAAAAAAGUUUGUUCAUGUCACAUUUAACUUUGAUCAUAAAUAAAAGGGAAGGAGGCAUCUUUUUGGAGUUAGUCAUGGUAGUCAUUAGUGAUAUUUCUGAACUGUUCUUAAUUUGAAAUACUUCAAAGGAAGUAAAGGUCAUGGCUUAGUUGAAUGAGAUGCUCCAGAAGUUGAACUGUAUAAACCAUCAGUACAGUAAUUCACUCUUGUGUAUAUGUGUAUAGAAAAUGAGAAGUGCAGCAUUAUAAUUGGAGCAUUUACAUUCAUCAGCAAGCUCAUAAUGAGACAAAACUUUGUCUUACAGCUGUUUUGAUUACAACCAAGUGUCCCAUGUAGCUGUGAAUGAAAAUUUUAAAAAGUCAUUUUCAAACAUUUUGAGAAGUAAUUACUUGGAAACUUGGAAAGGUAUUGUGUUUUUGUAUUUAAAUACCUAUAGAGAUCUUCAAUUCUUUGAGUCUGAGCUUGUGGGUUAAAUUCUAAAUUUGUAUCAUAGUGUUUUUUUGUGGAAGAUUUUGAAAACAGUAUGUAUAUAUACACCUAUAAUAUUGUAUAUGCAAUUUGUGUUGUUUCACUUGUAAAGGGAAAAGGCUUAUUUUUCUUUAAACUUCUGACAACUUAUUUUGCAUAUGACCAGCACUGACUGAAAGGCAUGUGUAACUGCAAACACUGUUGCUUUUUUUUUUUUGUGAAAUAAAAAUAAAGUAUUUAAAUAUAAA